UACGAAGGGGGCUAGCGUUGCUCGGAAUCACUGGGCGUAAAGGGUGCGUAGGCGGGUCUUUUAAGUCAGGGGUGAAAUCCUGGAGCUCAACUCCAGAACUGCCUUUGAUACUGAGGAUCUUGAGUUCGGGAGAGGUGAGUGGAACUGCGAGUGUAGGGGUGAAAUUCGUAGAUAUUCGCAAGAACACCAGUGGCGAAGGCGGCUCACUGGCCCGAUACUGACGCUGAGGCACGAAAGCGUGGGGAGCAAACAGGG
rnacentral:rRNA from 1 species